rnacentral:lncRNA from 1 species
AAGGAGUAGUAGCGAUGAAACUUGCUUUCAGAUAAGCUUCUGGUAAAGGGAAGCACAGGAGAAAACCAAGAGGAGCUGCAGGGCUUUUACCUACCCCAGACAGAAGAAAGGAAGACUCCUCUCUGGGAAAACCAAUCCACCUAAGAGAAAAGAACUACAGAAUCAGCAUCUGGGGGACUUUAUCUGACAGCUCUUCAACAGGCCCACCAGAAGAACCAAAGAUCCAUGAAGGAAGAUUAAGAGGUAUAAGGCUGAAAGAUCUGUGAAUCCAGAACACAAAGGUCUUGAAUUCCAGGUGGGGGCAAGAAGAAAGGGAGAUCAAGACCGAGAGAUAUGGAAGCUAAGGGAGAGGAAAAAUCAACCAUUCAAGGACAGAAACGUCGCAAUAAAGAAGUGCCACCUAGGAAGCCCAAUAGGGAGAGGAGCAGCCAAGAAAUCGCUGGAGGCAGGAUUAAAGGGACCAGAGAAGCUCAUCAAGAUUAGGAGACCCACCACCUGAGACCCUGCAGACAUCCUGAUCUUGUUAGCAAUCUCCCCCUAAACUCCUCACCAAACUCUCCUGUGUUGAGACACAUCAUUUUCCAGAGCAAGAAUCUGCUGUGUCUCUCUUUGCCUGGCAAAGCAAUAAAGCUAUUCUUUUCCACUUCAUCCAAAACUCUGAGAUUUGAUUUGGCCCCAGUGUACAGGGAGGCUGUACACUUGGAGAAGGCAAUGGCAAC